rnacentral:misc_RNA from 1 species
UUUUCCUCAACACAACUUAAGUUAUAAUGACUUAACUUGUGCUUGGAUGUUGAAGGUCUGCUGGCAAUUACCAUGUCAGCUCCUUUCAAAUGUAUGAGCAGGACAGUAUGUAACCAGCUCCAAUUUGAUAAGUAGUUAUCUGUGUUGUUGCUGGCUAUAGUUGAAUGUCUGCUACUAAUUGUCCUACUAUUGGGACUUGCUUCUAAGCAAAAUCUAUUGAA